UCUUGAACCGUGGCUUCUGGAGCUAACGCGUUAAAUCGACCGCCUGGGGAGUACGGCCGCAAGGUUAAAACUCAAAUGAAUUGACGGGGGCCCGCACAAGCGGUGGAGCAUGUGGUUUAAUUCGAUGCAACGCGAAGAACCUUACCUACUCUUGACAUCCAGCGAAUCCUUUAGAGAUAGAGGAGUGCCUUCGGGAACGCUGAGACAGGUGCUGCAUGGCUGUCGUCAGCUCGUGUUGUGAAAUGUUGGGUUAAGUCCCGCAACGAGCGCAACCCUUAUCCUUUGUUGCCAGCACGUAAUGGUGGGAACUCAAAGGAGACUGCCGGUGAUAAACCGGAGGAAGGUGGGGAUGACGUCAAGCCAUCAUGGCCCUUACGAGUAGGGCUACACACGUGCUACAAUGGCAGAUACAAAGAGAAGCGACCUCGCGAGAGCAAGCGGAACUCAUAAAGUCUGUCGUAGUCCGGAUUGGAGUCUGCAACUCGACUCCAUGAAGUCGGAAUCGCUAGUAAUCGUAGAUCAGAAUGCUACGGUGAAUACGUUCCCGGGCCUUGUACACACCGCCCGUCACACCAUGGGAGUGGGUUGCAAAAGAAGUAGGUAGCUUAACCUUCGGGAGGGCGCUUACCACUUUGUGAUUCAUGACUGGGGUGAAGUCGUAACAAGGUAACCAAGGGCGAAUUCGCGGCC
rnacentral:rRNA from 1 species